UCCAGAGGUCUCAAGCGUUGUUCGGAUUCAUUGGGCGUAAAGGGUGCGUAGGCGGCGCGGUAAGUCGGGUGUGAAAUUUCGGAGCUUAACUCCGAAACUGCAUUCGAUACUGCCGUGCUUGAGGACUGGAGAGGAGACUGGAAUUUACGGUGUAGCGGUGAAAUGCGUAGAUAUCGUAAGGAAGACCAGUGGCGAAGGCGGGUCUCUGGACAGUUCCUGACGCUGAGGCACGAAGGUCAGGGGAGCAAACGGG
rnacentral:rRNA from 1 species